AUUGAACGCUGGCGGCAGGCCUAACACAUGCAAGUCGAACGCGUGGCGGACGGGUGAGUAAUGUCUGGGAAACUGCCUGAUGGAGGGGGAUAACUACUGGAAACGGUAGCUAAUACCGCAUACCAUCAGAUGUGCCCAGAUGGGAUUAGCUUGUUGGUGGGGUAACGGCUCACCAAGGCGACGAUCCCUAGCUGGUCUGAGAGGAUGACCAGCAAAACUGGAACGGAGACACGGUCAAGACGCCUACGGGAGGCAGAAGUGGGGAAUAUUGCACAAUGGGAGAAAGCCUGAUGCAGCCAUGCGGCGUGUAUGAAGAAGGCCGUCGGGUUGUAAAGUACUUUCAGCGGGGAGGCGUUAACCGCAGAAGAAGCACCGGCUAACUCCGUGCCAGCAGCCGCGGUAAUAC
rnacentral:rRNA from 1 species